rnacentral:rRNA from 1 species
GACGAACGCUGGCGGCGUGCUUAACACAUGCAAGUCGAACGAAGUGGCGGACGGGUGAGUAACGCGUAAUAAACCUGCCCUUGAGAGGGGGACAACAGUUGAAAACGACUGCUAAUACCGCAAACUGAAGGAGGGGAUUGCGUUGGAUUAGCUAGUUGGAGGGGCAACGGCCCACCAAGGCGAUGAGCAUUAGCCGGUCUGAGAGGAUGAACGGCCACAUUUGGACUGAGACACGGCCCAGACGCCUACGGGAGGCAGCAGUGGGGAAUCGUCCGCAAUGGACGAAAGUCUGACGGAGCAACGCCGCGUGAGUGAUGACGGCCUUCGGGUUGUAAAGCUCUUUUAAUCGGGACGCGGUACCGGAAUAGAAAGCCACGGCUAACUACGUGCCAGCAGCCGCGGUAAUUC